CGAACGCUGGCGGCAGGCCUAACACAUGCAAGUCGAACGCCGUAGCAAUACGGAGUGGCAGACGGGUGAGUAACGCGUGGGAACAUGCCCUUUGGUUCGGAAUAACUCAGGGAAACUUGAGCUAAUACCGGAUAAGCCCGAGAGGGGAAAGAUUUAUCGCCGAAGGAUUGGCCCGCGUCCGAUUAGCUAGUUGGUGAGGUAAUGGCUCACCAAGGCGACGAUCGGUAGCUGGUCUGAGAGGAUGAUCAGCCACACUGGGACUGAGACACGGCCCAGACUCCUACGGGAGGCAGCAGUGGGGAAUAUUGGACAAUGGGCGCAAGCCUGAUCCAGCCAUGCCGCGUGAGUGAUGAAGGCCCUAGGGUUGUAAAGCUCUUUCGCCAGGGACGAUAAUGACGGUACCUGGAUAAGAAGCCCCGGCUAACUUCGCGCCAGCAGCCGCGGUAAUCU
rnacentral:rRNA from 1 species